UCUUACAGAUGAGCAAAGAAAGUAGUUUUUUGAGAUAGGAUCUACUUCUGGUGAAGAUGCUGUAAA
rnacentral:pre_miRNA from 2 species